rnacentral:tRNA from 1 species
UUAAUAAAAACCAAAAAGAGGUGUAUCAUUGUUAAUGAUAAUAUUGAAAUUUUUUUCUUAUUAAG